AUGGUGGACUCCUUGGCCAAAAACUCCUCAAAGAAAGAUGACGAAGGGUGGUCCUUGGCUGGAGACGAGGUGUUAAUUAAGGUGGACCACUCUGAGCCCUGGAGCUAGACCUACAAAAAAUUUCCAAUCGAAAUAUUUUUCGAUGGACAUCUUUUGACGCUCAAAUUAGUUGGAAAUUAAAGAAUAGGGAGAGAGAGUAGUGGAGCAUCUCGAGGCCUCUUGAGAACUUAUCUGGAUCUCCUUUUCUUCCCUAUUUAUAGAUAGAGAAUAAGAGUCGUAUACACCGGAGAAACUAGUUAUUUUUGAAAAGUAUAUAUGGAUCACACUGAUGGGGAUCGCAU
rnacentral:lncRNA from 1 species